AGGGGUGAUGCCUGCCCAGUGACACUGUUUAACGGCCGCGGUAUCCUGACCGUGCGAAGGUAGCAUAAUCACUCGUCUUUUAAAUAAAGACUAGAAUGAAUGGCUAAACGAGGCUCUACCUGUCUCUUACAAAUUAUCAGUGAAAUUGAUCUCCUCGUGCAAAAGCGAGAAUAUCAACAUAAGACGAGAAGACCCUGUGGAACUUUAAGUAUAAGUCAACUACCAAACUAAAACUCUAACUCCACUUGAGACACUACAUACAAUUACUUGACCUUACUUUCGGUUGGGGUGACCUUGGAGAACAACAAAACCUCCAAAAAUAUAUACCAAGAUCAACACACCAAAGUGYCCAAGGCAAAACGAUCCAAUAUAUUUGAUCAACGAACCAAGCUACCCCAGGGAUAACAGCGCAAUCCCCUCUUAGAGUCCAUAUCAACGAUGGGGGUUUACGACCUCGAUGUUGGAUCAGGACAUCCUAAUGGUGCAGCCGCUAWUAAGGGUUC
rnacentral:rRNA from 1 species